AUGAUGGAGGCUGCACGAUCCCCCCCUUGGUCAGAUCUCCACCCGGAACUCCUUGGCCUUGUCCUCAAGCGCCUCCCUUCCUUAGCUGACCGUGUUCGUGUAAGAGCUGUCUGCCACCCAUGGCGCUCUAAUAGUAUGUUGCAACCCCUUCCUCUCCCAUUCCCAUGGCUCACGCUCCCUGACGGUACCUUCCUCAGCAUUCCAAGUGGUGAAAUUCACCACAUAUCUUUACCAGAAGGUGCGUGUUGCCAGGGCUCUAUCGGAAACUGGCUAUUCCUCAUGCACAAUGAUGAUGUGUGCUACUUGAUGAACCCUUUCUCCAAGACCAGGUUGGAGCUUCCUAAGCUAGCCAAAGUAUGUAAUCCUGAAAUAUUGGAUCCCGACUCUAGAUUCAAUCCAAUUUUCUACAAGUUGGUGGUCCCCUUUCCCCUUGACUCGUCGCCCUGUUCCCUUGUUGCUGCAAUGAUCGUGGACGAUAGUGAGUGCGGUACACUUUGUAUUAGCAAACCACCGAUUGUCACUGACUCAUUCAGAGACGAUGAGCUUCCAGUUCUGGAACUCGAGGAUGUUGCAUUCUUUGAUGAAAAGUUGUACGUCUUGGCGGGGUUUGGCCAACUGAUCAUAUUUGAAUUAGACAAGGACCUUCGUAUUUCAUUCAUGGAGUGCAUAAUUGACUCUGUGAUGGACUCAAGUGGAACACUUCAAUUCUUGCCGAGAGAGGCGUGUAUGAUAAGGCAGUAUCUGGUUGAAUGUGGCGGUAGACUGUUGAUGGUGAUACGGUGGAUUCGCUCUAUGGCCCAUCCAACAAGUGAUGACUAUUUGGAGCAUGGCCGUACUUUUGCACUUGAGGUUCUUGAGGCAGAUUUGCGCGCCGCCGAACGUGUUGGAUGGAGAACAGUAAGUGACUUGGAUGGCCAUGCGAUCUUUGUCGGCAAGCAUAGCUCCAAGUCCAUGCGUGCUGAAGAAUGCAGUGGAUACCAAGAGGAUUGCAUCUACUUCAUGUGUGACUAUCCCGAGCCAAAGGAUUCUGCAAAUCCUCUUCGUGAUGCCGGUGUUUACAACAUUAGGAAUGAGACAUUCAUGCCGCUGAUGUCGGGGACUGCAGCAGUAUCGCCAUGUCACGCUGGCCAGUGGCGUCCGACAUGGUUUUUCCCUCCUGAAACUGUAUGA
rnacentral:rRNA from 1 species